rnacentral:rRNA from 1 species
CGUGUAGGCGGUUUCUUAAGUCUGAUGUGAAAGCCCCGGGCUCAACCCGGGAAGUGCAUUGGAUACUGGGAGACUUGAAUACGGGAGAGGGUAGUGGAAUUCCUAGUGUAGGAGUGAAAUCCGUAGAUAUUAGGAGGAACACCGGUGGCGAAGGCGGCUACCUGGACCGAUAUUGACGCUGAGACGCGAAAGCGUGGGGAGCAAACAGGAUUAGAUACCCUGGUAGUCCACGCCGUAAACGAUGAGAACUAGGUGUUGCGGGUAUUGGACCCCUGCAGUGCCGCAGCUAACGCAUUAAGUUCUCCGACCUGGGAAGUACGGUCGCAAGACUAAA